rnacentral:rRNA from 1 species
GCUACGGGCGGCUGCAGUGGGGAAUAUUGGACAAUGGGGGGAACCCUGAUCCAGCCAUGCCGCGUGUGUGAAGAAGGCCCUCGGGUUGUAAAGCACUUUCAGUGAGGAAGAACGCCUGGUGGUUAAUACCCAUCAGGAAAGACAUCACUCACAGAAGAAGCACCGGCUAACUCCGUGCCAGCAGCCGCGGUAAUACGGAGGGUGCGAGCGUUAAUCGGAAUUACUGGGCGUAAAGCGCGCGUAGGUGGCUUGAUAAGCCGGUUGUGAAAGCCCCGGGCUCAACCUGGGAACGGCAUCCGGAACUGUCAAGCUAGAGUGCAGGAGAGGAAGGUAGAAUUCCCGGUGUAGCGGUGAAAUGCGUAGAGAUCGGGAGGAAUACCAGUGGCGAAGGCGGCCUUCUGGACUGACACUGACACUGAGGUGCGAAAGCGUGGGUAGCAAACAGGAUUAGAUACCCUGGUAGUC